CCUACGGGUGGCAGCAGUGAGGAAUAUUGGUCAAUGGACGAGAGUCUGAACCAGCCAAGUAGCGUGAAGGAUGACUGCCCUAUGGGUUGUAAACUUCUUUUAUAUGGGAAUAAAAUGUUCCACGUGUGGCAUUUUGUAUGUACCAUAUGAAUAAGGAUCGGCUAACUCCGUGCCAGCCGCCGCGGUAAUACGGAGGAUCCGAGCGUUAUCCGGAUUUAUUGGGUUUAAAGGGAUCGUAGGUGGAUUGUUAAGUCAGUUGUGAAAGUUUGCGGCUCAACCGCAAAAUUGCAGUUGAAACUGGCAGUCUUGAGUAGAGUAGAGGUAGGCGGAAUUCGUGGUGUAGCGGUGAAAUGCUUAGAUAUCACGAAGAACUCCGAUUGCGAAGGCAGCUCACUGGACUGCAACUGACACUGAGGCUCGAAAGUGUGGGUAUCAAACAGGAUUAGAUACCCCAGUAGUC
rnacentral:rRNA from 1 species